UCUUGUACAAAGAUGAUGGCAUAAUGGUUGUCAGCGACCCGUCUUGAAACACGGACCAAGGAGUCGUCCAAAUAUGCGAGAAUUAGGGUUUUAAACCCUUAUUCGUAAUGAAAGUGAACGUUGGUGGGAACUUUUUGUGCACCAUCGACCGAUCUGAGUUCGCGAGGAUUUGAGUAUGAGUAUAUUUGGACGGACCCGAAAGGUUAGUUAAUCAAUGCAUACUUUCCCUUUGUUAAUUCAUACUAACAAUUUUAUAGAAGGUGAACUAUUCCUGACUAGGGUGAAGUCAGAGGAAACUCUGAUGGAGGCUCGCAGCGGUUCUGACGUGCAAAUCGAUCGUCAAAGCUGGGAAUAGGGGCGAAAGACUAAUCGAACCUUCUAGUAGCUGGUUCCUGUCGAAGUUUCCCUCAGGAUAGCAGUAACGAAAUAACAGUCUCAUGAGGUAGAGCAACGAUUAGAGGCCUUGGGGUUGAAACAACCUUAACCUAUUCUCGAACUCCGAAUAUGUGAGAAGUCCUUGUUACUUAAUUGAACGUGGACAUUGGAUUACUUACUGGGG
rnacentral:rRNA from 1 species